rnacentral:rRNA from 1 species
UACGUAGGGUGCAAGCGUUGUCCGGAAUUAUUGGGCGUAAAGAGCUCGUAGGCGGUUUGUCGCGUCUGCUGUGAAAACCCGAGGCUCAACCUCGGGCCUGCAGUGGGUACGGGCAGGCUUGAGUUCGGUAGGGGAGACUGGAAUUCCUGGUGUAGCGGUGAAAUGCGCAGAUAUCAGGAGGAACACCGGUGGCGAAGGCGGGUCUCUGGGCAACAACUGACGCUGAGGAGCGAAAAGCGUGGGGGAGCGAACAGG